rnacentral:lncRNA from 1 species
GCUUCUCUCUGGAUCUAUUCAAUAUGGUGGUCAGUCAAGAAAUGUUUUUGCUUGCAAAAAGAUCGUAAAAUGUUGGCGCUACAAGCUCGGAAAAGAUUGUAAAUGAGAUCAGGCUUUUUUAGCUUUAUCAGCAUCACAGGAUAACAAGAAGGAAGCAUCCAAACAAAUUCAAAGAUGACUAAUUUUAACAUGGUGGAUACGAAAGUCCUUCCUUGAAAACCUACUUCAGUCAUUUGUCGAUUAAAAGUCCAGCGAGAAAUGAAGUGAAAGGCGCGUAGAUUUGAAAACCACGAGAUUGUUUUUGCCAAUGUUUUGAUCUGAGGGUUUAAAGAAUCACUUUUACAAUUGAAACUGGAAUGCAAUGAUAAGAAAGGGAAAUGUGGAAUAAAUGCCUGGAAAGACAAUAUAAACUAUAAUUUGAAACUGGAAUGCAAUGAUAAGAAAGGGAAAUAAACUAUUGCUAAAGCUAAAGAACCACUGAAGCUAAAGAAUUGAGAUACAACAAUCUUUGACUGACUUUAGGUGUGGCGAUCGAAGGUGGACAGCAAGAUCGAAGCUCAGCAAGAUUGAAGAUUGUUCGAGGAAGAAGGAGUUCGCCGUUGACUAAAAGGUUUAUCUGAACAGCUAUUUGUCAAGAUGAACGUGAAGAGAAAAAAGAUGAGAAUAGAAGACUCGCCCGGCCAAAUUCAAAAUGGCGAUGCCAAAGAAAACCAUCCACGUGGACCGUUCGCGGACCUUUCUGAGCAAGAUUGUUGUGCUGUCUGGUCAAAGUUAAGUAUUUUACUUUGUCUUUGAUGUUUGUGUGCCUUCUGCUAAUUGUUGGCCAGAAAUGACAAAAAGCCAUAUACAAUAUGAAAUAUUCUGCGUACAAGGUUAUCUAAAGUUUCGAGCUUAAUUCUGCCUGCAAUGAUGAUAAUUUUUUACUGAAAAUUUAUGUCAUGAGCAACUUCCGCACCUAUAGACUGAAGCAGAACUGAACAUUUUGUCAUUAACGUUUAUCUCAACAGCCAGUUAUCAAGACGAACGUCAAGAGAACAGUUGAAAU